rnacentral:rRNA from 2 species
GUAGAGUUGAUCCUCGCUCGAGUAUCUCGAUAUAUAUAGAGAAGGUCGCUUGCAUCUUGAUUUUAAGUGGGGGAUAACAUUUGGAAACAGAUGCUAAUACCGCAUAAAUCCAAAAACCGCAUGGUUCUUGGCUGAAAGAUGGCGUAAGCUAUCGCUAGCUAGUUGGUGAGGUAACGGCUCACCAAGGCAAUGAUACGUAGCCGAACUGAGAGGUUGAUCGGCCACAUUGGGACUGAGACACGGCCCAAACUCCUACGGGAGGCAGCAGUAGGGAAUCUUCCACAAUGGACGCAAGUCUGAUGGAGCAACGCCGCGUGAGUGAAGAAGGCUUUCGGGUCGUAAAACUCUGUUGUUGGAGAAGAAUGGUCGGCAGAAUAACUGUUGUCGGCGUGACGGUAUCCAACCAGAAAGCCACGGCUAACUACGUGCCAGCAGCCGCGGUAAUACGUAGGUGGCAAGCGUUAUCCGGAUUUAUUGGGCGUAAAGCGAGCGCAGGCGGUUUUUUAAGUCUGAUGUGAAAGCCCUCGGCUUAACCGAGGAAGUGCAUCGGAAACUGGGAAACUUGAGUGCAGAAGAGGACAGUGGAACUCCAUGUGUAGCGGUGAAAUGCGUAGAUAUAUGGAAGAACACCAGUGGCGAAGGCGGCUGUCUGGUCUGUAACUGACGCUGAGGCUCGAAAGCAUGGGUAGCGAACAGGAUUAGAUACCCUGGUAGUCCAUGCCGUAAACGAUGAAUGCUAGGUGUUGGAGGGUUUCCGCCCUUCAGUGCCGCAGCUAACGCAUUAAGCAUUCCGCCUGGGGAGUACGACCGCAAGGUUGAAACUCAAAGGAAUUGACGGGGGCCCGCACAAGCGGUGGAGCAUGUGGUUUAAUUCGAAGCAACGCGAAGAACCUUACCAGGUCUUGACAUCUUUUGAUCACCUGAGAGAUCAGGUUUCCCCUUCGGGGGCAAAAUGACAGGUGGUGCAUGGUUGUCGUCAGCUCGUGUCGUGAGAUGUUGGGUUAAGUCCCGCAACGAGCGCAACCCUUAUGACUAGUUGCCAGCAUUUAGUUGGGCACUCUAGUAAGACUGCCGGUGACAAACCGGAGGAAGGUGGGGAUGACGUCAAAUCAUCAUGCCCCUUAUGACCUGGGCUACACACGUGCUACAAUGGAUGGUACAACGAGUUGCGAGACCGCGAGGUCAAGCUAAUCUCUUAAAGCCAUUCUCAGUUCGGACUGUAGGCUGCAACUCGCCUACACGAAGUCGGAAUCGCUAGUAAUCGCGGAUCAGCACGCCGCGGUGAAUACGUUCCCGGGCCUUGUACACACCGCCCGUCACACCAUGAGACAAGUUACCCCUGAAGUUCGAUCGUGUCUCCGUAAGUCGUAACAAAGGUUAC